rnacentral:misc_RNA from 1 species
AGGUCUACCCCUUUUUUUCUUUCUCUACUCUAAACGACACGAUUAACAAAUUGUGUAAAAAAUUUAAACAUAAACACGACCCUUCUAUUAUACGUGUUACACGACACGACACGACACGAUUAAUAUUAAAUUGUAUUAGGUGUAUUCAACACGACACGACCCAUUUAACACGAAAUAACCCGUUUAACACGGUUUGACACAACUUAACCCAUUUAACACACUAUAUAAGUGGGUUCAUGAGUUAUAGUGGGUCAAAUGAGUUAGCGGGUCACGGC